rnacentral:rRNA from 1 species
GACGUAGGGUGCAAGCGUUGUCCGGAUUUAUUGGGCGUAAAGAGCUCGUAGGCGGCUUGUUGCGUCGACUGUGAAAACCCGCGGCUUAACUGCGGGCUUGCAGUCGAUACGGGCAGGCUAGAGUUCGGUAGGGGAGACUGGAAUUCCUGGUGUAGCGGUGAAAUGCGCAGAUAUCUGGAGGAACACCGGUGGCGAAGGCGGCAUCCUGGACCGACACUGACACUGAGGAGCGAAAGCCAGGGGAGCAAACGGG